ensembl:lncRNA
AUGAAGAAACAGGCAAGUCAUGUGGCUGGCAAGUGGUAAAGCUACAUUUAGCACCCACACAUUCUGGUUCUGGAGUCCACAAGCUUAACCACCACUUGAAAUUGCUGCUACUAAAAAAGAAUUCUCCAGAAAAAUAUGAGAUGCCCCCAAACAAAAGAAGAAAAAGAAGGAGGAAAAAAGGAUAGAGUCAACCAGAUGACUCAAACUUGUUCUGGCUCUUGUUUACCAAGGAUGCGUUUCCAUUCCAUUGGAAGGAAGAAGAGCACCUUGAGAUGUCAGCCACCAUGAUGCUGUGUUUCUGUUUCCCUUUGACCUGUUAUAAAGCUGUAGAACUACAGACAUAAGCUCUUGUGUCUCUCUUCCUUUGGAUUAUAUUGCUGAACAUGUUCAUUUUUUGCCCUUUCCUGGAGGUAUAAAAAUGGCACGUGUAUCUCCACGUACUCGUUUGACGUGUGCUCGUGAAAUCUGCUUGUGUGCCCACAUGAUGGUGUAUGAAGCAGCUCUCGGUGACUGACCUCUCAAUUUUCUCUGUGAAAGAUGAGUUAGAUAUUUUGGGUAAAGAUGAGUGUUGAAGCUGUCCUGGGAACAGUGGUUUGAGAAAAAUACUAAAUGUGUAUGCAAUGUAAUGGGAUGUACUUUUAUUUAUCAAUGGGAAAAGAAAGCUGCUAUGUCUUAAAGCAAAGAUUCUGUCCAGAAAGUUAAAGAAGAUAGUGAAAGAAAAAGCUUCCAUGGGCAGAGAAAGUUUACAAGGCUUUCAGAAAGUAAGCUUUAUUUGUCUUAGUUUAUAAUAAUGGCAAAUAAUGAGUGUGGAGAGAAGCAAUGAAACCAUUAAAAUGUUGGCAAAGUAGGAUCAGCUUUUACAAGUUUAUUUAUAAGAUUUAAAUAACUCAUGAAUUCUUUACUGCUAAAAUAUUACAUUAACAGAGCUCUAGAAUGUGGUUUUCUCUGUUAAAAUGACAGAUUGGUAUAGGAGUGUUCAGUCUGCUCUUUAGAAGAGGUAGUAAAAGUUAUUUGUUACCUUUUGUGUAACCUGCCCAGACGGCUGAGAUUGAUUCUUUCUUACCAGAUAAACUUUCUGUGCUUAUCCUACUUUGUUGCAUGCUUGAUAACUAAAACAGACAGAACCCAAAGGUUCUUUGCUUCCAAAAGAGCUAAGAUUCCUUCCAAUUGUCCUAACUUCGGCAUAUGUUCAUUUAAAAAUAUUGUGCUGUCAUUUCGAUUAGCAAGAAACCAAGCCACAACCAUUCAUUGCUCUCAGGCUACCAUGCUUCCACCUUAAUCAAGUGACCAGCCUCCUCUGUUAAUGCUUUGAUUUUGUCUUCUCAAGGUCAGACACAAAAUUCAGAAAAAUAAAAUGUAAAUGAAUAAAUAAAUUCAAGAUUUUUUUUUAACUAAUCUAUUUUUUUCAUCUUACACAAGAAACUGCUAGAAAUAGGUUUUUUUUUUUUUCUGUCCGGUAUGCUUCAUAUUUCAUACAGCUCAAUACUGUUGUAAAAGCUGCAAGGGAAGAGAAAUUGUGAAAUCAGAGAAGUUUCACCUUUAUUGGUUGAAUUGAAUUCAGGCAAAAAUUUUAUUAAUCUAAAUAUAUUCAGAGAUUGUAUACUUUACAGGAAAGCUCUCACAUGUCCAUAAUGUUACUACUAUAAAGGGAAACUGAUCAAAUUCAUAGGUAACAUUUGUGUAUUAUAUCCAGGGGAUUUUAUUCCCCUCCGUUCUGAUAUUUCUGGUUACUGAUAGAAUUAACCACAGCCAUUCAGCCCUAUCAUCAACAGGCAAUUCUGAUUUCCUCUCCUGCUUGUCUGAAAGUUUUGACAUGAGGUGGAGGCCACACGUCGAUUAUUCUACAAAGUAGAACAGUUUUCAAACCUUAGGAAAAGGAUUGUACCAGGAGCUCUAUUGAUAUCUCAAGGAAUGGACUCAUGGCUACUGGCUUUGGAUUUAAGGUGGCACCACUUACACAAGCGUCAGAAUGUAUUAAGUGGAUGAGUCAAGAUUUCCAGGACUUGUUUUAGUUUAGCAGUAGAUAAAUUUGUGAAAGCAGACUGCUGAGCCAAUACCCAGAGACUCGAGAAUUUGUUACAUGGUACUGAAGCAAGUAUAUUUGUUAGAAUGUUGUUGGUAUUACUGAGCCCUCAGAAUUUAAGAAGUAUUUUUACUAAAUGUGUAUAUUCUUCAUGGCAAUGUAGUUGUAUCAGAAUAGAAUCAAACAUAUCAAUUGUGCAACCAAG